UGCGUAUUGUAAUAAAUGGUAUAAUAAUCUUAUUAAGUAUUUGUACUUCGUAGCAAAAGAUGACUAUAUUGUGUUGUAAGAGCAACCUAUACACCUCGUUUCGUAAGUUCUUUGAUGGCGGAAGCUUCAUGAGAAGCUAAAAAUUCAUAGUAUUCUUUCAACCUCUGAAAGACUGAUUCUCCGUUCCAUAAGUCAAUCCCUUCACUAUUUUUCGUGUGUGCCGGCAAACCGUGUUGUUGAAUGACAAACGAAGCGGCUACAGUAGCUUUAGCACAAGCUUCUAUAAUAUUACCCGUCCUAUAAUACUCCAAGAUUGCAGCUCCACAAAAAGCAUUACCAGCCCCAGUGGUAUCUAAAACGCUUCCGUUUUUCAUUUGUACACUUGGCAAAUGAAGAAUUUCUCGCACAGGGACAACUGCAUCGCUUGUAGCGUUGGUACUACUCGUGCAUGCACCAAUUAAACAACCAUCGGACCCAUUUCGAAGAACAACCCAUCCUUGAGAAUCGUGCCCAAUUUGGAAUUCUUGAAACGCAGAUACAAACUCUUUGGCUCGAGAUUUGCUUUCGCUAAUAUCUAUACCCAGAAGGUUGGCAGAGUCCACCUCGUUUGGAGAAAAUAUAUCACAAUACUUUAAGGCUUUUUGUAAAAUAUGCCAGUUUUCCGGUAAACAGGAUUCAGGCGUUGGCUCCCAUACGAUUUUAGGACGAUUUUUUAGAUUUCCAUACUUUGCCAGUUCCUCACACACAGAGACAAAUGUUUUAGGAUUUGUAAUAAUAUGAAUUGUUUUUGCAUAUAUCAAUCCUGUUUCCAAAAGAUCAGGAGCACGAAUUGGCUUUUUAGGUGUAAG